GAUGUGUUCCUUGUACGCAGCAGAGCUUUUCAAACUCUGCAGUCUAGACGUACCCUAUUAUAGACAAGCAGUGCUGAAAGUAGCUAGCUAUAAAUUUUAUGUUGUGCAAACUGAUGACAUUUUAACCAAGUGUGGGGGUAGCACAAAGUGAUAAUAGUACAAUGUCACGUUAGAAAUCAGGAAUGUUAGUCCCAAAGGUCCCUUUUACCAUCUCACCUGAGAAGGUUCUUUGCAGAUUGCCCUCAGGCAAAGAUCCUCUUUUACAACUCAGUGGAAGUGCUGGAGAGGAUGUCUAAACAAGCAAUUGUUUUGCUGCAGAGACCACACAUACACAGCUCAGGCAAAGGCAGAAAGGUGAAAACUUGGCACACACAACUGUCAACAAAAACAGCAGGAUUAUUCAAUAAAUUAAUACAUUGACAGCACAUUGCUCUUGGGGAGCUGAAGUGUUUGCAAUGGGACAUCUUGUUUAGAUUUCUUUCCAACUGUGUUUGUGACCUUUAAAACAGAAUCCACCUUUUCAGGUCCUCAUUGUACAAAUUCAAUGUCGCGGCUGAAGAAACAGAUCUAUAAAGGUAAAUAAUUCUAAAAGCUCCUAUUAACAAAGCAUUUAGUAGCCAUAAAACAUUGUGUGAGGGGAGAAGCUUGGCUGAUGGGUGUUAACUCUAUUGCUUUGAGGAAUAACCUCAAGAAAGAAAUUAAACAAGGGAGAGAGGGAAUGGACUCUUUCUUUACAGACCCUGUGUGGUUUUAGAUUUGAUUUUUAACAAAAAACUAGCACAAUAAAUUUGUUAUACAUAUGGGUGUCUGUAGAUCUAGAUUCUCAGCUGGUGUAUAUCAGCAUGGCAUAGCUGAUUUACAUCACAUGAAGAUCGGGCCCAUAGUUCCUACCAUGCUCAUGGGAGGCACCUGCUGAAGAGAAAUGUCAUCCUAUUUGUCUUCAGCAGCAUGUACGGACCAAAUCAUGUUCUUAGUACUGGAGUUUGGCUUUGGGUAGUGUCCAGAAGCCAUUCUGCACCCGGAACACCAUGCAGCGGUUUUUCAGAAGGGAAAUGAUAAACAACUUCUCCAAUUGAAGUUCCAGAGGGAAUUUAGGCUGAGAGCUUGGGAACAGUUUUAGUUGUGGUAAAAGAGUACUUCCCUUUGGGACACUUCUGUAUUUCCAUUGCACUUAGUAGCAUUUCAACUACAGGUCUCAUUCAAACAGGCUCCAAAGCACUUUACUAAGUGCACAUACCAAGAUCACUCACCCACCAAUACCGGAACAUGGACCACUGCAGGAUGGAAGGCAGCAGCCAUUCUGGGCCGCAGAGCUUAGGAAAGGAAGUGAGGAAUAAUUUUUACAGAUGGAACUACUGGGUAAUUGUCAGAAGGCCAUUUAAUUUGGUUAGAACAGCAGGGUUAGCUUUCAAGAAAAUCCAAGAGAUCAUCUCUCGUCGUGAUUGGACAGUUGCCUUGGUUUUCUUUCAUCUCAGCUAAAGCGAUCCUGUAUGUAUCCCUAACAUCAAACUGAUAAUAACUUCAUGGUGACUCAGUGGGAGGAGCUUCUUGCCCUUACCCUUUCAGGCAGGGCUACUCAACUUUGGAAGCCCUGAGAGCCACAAUGAUAUUUGCAGCACAUGCCAAAGAUCACAACUGAAGUGUGGUUGCAUAUACAUGCAAAUAUAUGCAAAUAGCUUUUCACACGGAUAGGUAUGAAUACAAAGAUUAAGGCCAGACUACACAACACAUACGUCCCAUUUAAGUCAGUUCUGCUGAUAUUAAUAAAAUGCAAUAUUUACCCAAUUUCCACCUAUAUGACAGCACUUUUAAUGAGCGAUAACAGUCUAGGAAUUAAGCUACUAAAAUGCAUAUGAACAGAAGACCACUACUUUUUUCUUUCAGCUUCAUAACAGUUCAGGAAUUUAACUACUAAAACACAUAUCAACCCAAGCUGCAAUGUAAACCCAAACCGCACCGUGGGCUGCAGACAAACGGGUUGUGAGCUGCAUGUAGCCCACGGGCCAUGUGUUGAGUAGCCCUGCUUUAAGGCAUACUCAGGGCUGAACUUGCUGUAUUACCUUAUCACAUCAUCCACUGCUACCUUUAUUCCACCAGCCUUCCCAGCCACUGCUGCCUGCUCGUCCUCUCCUCCCACCAGCACUUCUUUGCUUUCUGCCUUACUGCCCCAAUGAAUAGCAGACACUCCCCUCCUUCUGCCCCUCACAUGUAUCAGAUACAUCUUUAGCCUCCACAAAACUCAUUUCUUGCAGAUUGUCUCCCAAACACUGUUACAGGUUAAACCUCACUAGUCCAGCACUCUCUGGUCUGGCAACAUCUGUGGUCCGGCAUGAUUUUAGGUACUUGGAUGUCUGCUGGUGGGGGGCCAAGUUUCCCAUGAACUGGCAAUGUUUGUUUAUAGCCACUAGUUCGGCU